GCGCGCGGCGGCUGCCACCCCGGCUCGGCGGUCUCGGCGGGUGUCCCUGUCGCCGGUCCCCCGCUUGCAGGUGGCCUCGGGCUGCGCUUGGAUUCGGGGCGUUGGAUCUGGGGCGUCCGGGACUCGCAAGGAAGAAUGCCAAGGCCUUCACUGUGUUUUGGAUGACGUGGUAGCCAACUUCAAACUCCCUCAGCAUCCCAGUCUCUGUGGCUGUGCCAUCCACUACUGAGCUGCAAGCAUUGUGGUUGGUCCAAGGCUAAAGUAUUGUGCCCAGAGCCAAAGUAUUCCCCUAGGUCAUUGGGCUGCCGUUGUGUAUGACUGCAAACACACACCUAGGGGGCGGGCAGUGGUGCCCCGGCUGAGCACACGUCACCAUGGACGAGGACCCAGGUUCACGCCCCUGCUCCUCACCUUCAGGGAAGAAGCUUCACAAGUGGUGAAGCAGUGCUACAGGUGUCUGUUUCUCUCCUCUUUCUCUCCCAUUCCCCUCUCAAUUUUUAUCUGUCCUGUUUAAUAAUAAUUAAAAAAAAGGGGUGAAACAAAAAAAAAGAGGAAAAAUGGCCAACAGGAGUAGUAGAUUCAUCAUGCAGGCACUAAGCCCCAGCAAUAAUCCUGAUGAAAAUAAAUAAAUUAAUAAAUAAUAAAAACACACACUUAUCAAUAAAAAUCUCAUGGGUAUACCCCUAAA